UACGUAGGGAGCAAGCGUUAUCCGAAUUUAUUGGGUGUAAAGCGUGUGUAGGCGGUUUAUUAAGUCCAAGGUUUAAGUCCGAAGCUUAACUUCGGUUCGCCUUGGAAACUGAUUUACUUGAGUUUGGUAGAGGCAAGUGGAAUUUCUAGUGUAGCGGUAAAAUGCUUAGAUAUUAGAAGGAACACAGUGGCGAAGGCGACUUGCUGGGCCAACACUGACGCUGAGGCACGAAAGCGUGAGGAGCAAAUAG
rnacentral:rRNA from 1 species